UUUCCUUUAGGGAAUGUUCCAUUUUUUUCAAGACAAGUUUUAUGAUUUCAGUUGUUGGAAAAUAAGACUAACCUGUUUCUGUUCUUGCUUUAGCUCCCAGAAAACGCAGAGCUAAAUUUAAGACGUGAGUACGCUCAUAUGCCAACUCAGGCUCUCCAAAUCACCGGCUUUAUGAAGAAACUAAUGAAAUGAUUCUGCUGUCUGUCAGUCACUCAGGGAAGAAUGGCAGGCUAAGAGGGCAACUCCUGGAACGGGCACUACUGAGGGAAGCUGAAGAGCGUUGGGAAGUGUUGGAGGCAAAGAAGAUGUUCACUGGGACAACUAAACCCAUAGAGAAACUCAGAGUGUGGCUGAGCAUAAGCCGAGGGCAGAUCUCUGUCUAAGCUUGCAAAAUCCUGCCAGGAAAUGAAACCCAGCAGAUUACAAGGAGGGGGCAAAUACAUCAUUUCACAGAGCCUCAGGCUUGGCAGGGACCUCCAAGGUCAUCUAGCCCAGAUCACAAUCGAGCAAGAAUUCCCACUGGGACAAGCGGUUGUUCAGGUGUUGCUUGAACCCUUCUGACAAGAGAGAACCCAGUUUCUCAAGACAUUUGCCCUUGGGAUAAUAAACUUGAGCUUAAAGAGCCCUUUGAGAUCAUCUAGUCCAAACUCCUCAUGUUGCAGAUGAAGAAUCUGGGCACCAAGAGAAUAAGUAACUUUCCCAAUGUAAUACAAGGAGUAAAUGACAGAAUCUACAAUCAAAAAAGACCCUCUGAAUUAGCACCCAAGACUCUUUCCACUCUAACACAAUGCUUCCAAAUCUCCAGUAUCAUUCAAAGACACCAUGAUUUUUCAAAGAUCAUUGGACACUGGCUCAACAGUUGGAUCUAGCUUGAAAUGGUACUUGAGAGCUCAUUGUUAAAUUUUCAGCAAGAGCAUUUACACCUCAGAAUCAGCAAAAACCACAAGCCAGGGCAUGAUUUGUUUUAUUGAUUGUCUAGAUUUAAGAAUGUGAUGGAUAAAAACAUUAAUAUUGCAGAAUUA